ACGCUGGCGGCAGGCCUAGCACAUGCAAGUCGAGCGGUAGAGAGAAGCUUGCUUCUCUUGAGAGCGGCGGACGGGUGAGUAAUGCCUAGGAAUCUGCCUGGUAGUGGGGGAUAACGUUCGGAAACGGACGCUAAUACCGCAUACGUCCUACGGGAGAAAGCAGGGGACCUUCGGGCCUUGCGCUAUCAGAUGAGCCUAGGUCGGAUUAGCUAGUUGGUGGGGUAAUGGCUCACCAAGGCGACGAUCCGUAACUGGUCUGAGAGGAUGAUCAGUCACACUGGAACUGAGACACGGUCCAGACUCCUACGGGAGGCAGCAGUGGGGAAUAUUGGACAAUGGGCGAAAGCCUGAUCCAGCCAUGCCGCGUGUGUGAAGAAGGUCUUCGGAUUGUAAAGCACUUUAAGUUGGGAGGAAGGGUUGUAGAUUAAUACUCUGCAAUUUUGACGUUACCGACAGAAUAAGCACCGGCUAACUCUGUGCCAGCAGCCGCGGUAAUACAGAGGGUGCAAGCGUUAAUCGGAAUUACUGGGCGUAAAGCGCGCGUAGGUGGUUAGUUAAGUUGGAUGUGAAAUCCCCGGGCUCAACCUGGGAACUGCAUUCAAAACUGACUGACUAGAGUAUGGUAGAGGGUGGUGGAUUUUCCUGUGUAGCGGUGAAAUGCGUAGAUAUAGGAAGGAACACCAGUGGCGAAGGCGACCACCUGGACUGAUACUGACACUGAGGUGCGAAAGCGUGGGGAGCAAAC
rnacentral:rRNA from 1 species